rnacentral:rRNA from 1 species
CACGUAAGUAAUCUACCUCUGAGUGGGGAAUAACGUCCGGAAACGGACGCUAAUACCGCAUAAUGCAGCGGCAUCAUAAGAUGACAGUUGUUAAAGAUUUAUCGCUUAGAGAGGAGCUUGCGGCAGAUUAGCUAGUUGGUAAGGUAACGGCUUACCAAGGCUACGAUCUGUAACCGGUCUUAGAGGACGGUCGGUCACACUGACACUGAAUAACGGGUCAGACUCCUACGGGAGACAGCAGUCGGGAAUUUUGGGCAAUGGGCGAAAGCCUGACCCAGCAACGCCGCGUGAAGGAUGAAGUAUUUCGGUAUGUAAACUUCGAAAGAAUAGGAAGAAUAAAUGACGGUACUAUUUAUAAGGUCCGGCUAACUACGUG